rnacentral:rRNA from 1 species
GGCAGGCUUAACACAUGCCAGUCGAGCGCCCCGCAAGGGGAGCGGCAGACGGGUGAGUGACGCGUGGGAACAUACCCUUCGGUUCGGAAUAGCUCAGGGAAACUUGGAUUAAUACCGGAUACGUCCGCGAGGAGAAAGAUUCAUCGCCGAAGGAUUGGCCCGCGUCUGAUUAGCUAGUUGGUGGGGUAACGGCCCACCAAGGCGACGAUCAGUAGCUGGUCUGAGAGGAUGAUCAGCCACAUUGGGACUGAGACACGGCCCAAACUCCUACGGGAGGCAGCAGUGGGGAAUAUUGGACAAUGGGCGCAAGCCUGACCCAGCCAUGCCGCGUGAGUGAUGACGGCCUUAGGGUUGUAAAGCUCUUUCGCUAGGGACGAUAAUGACGGUACCUAGACAAGAAGCCCCGGCUAACUUCGUGCCAGCAGCCGCGGUAAUACGAAGGGGGCUAGCGUUGUUCGGAAUUACUGGGCGUAAAGCGCGUGUAGGCGGGCGUUUAAGUCAGGGGUGAAAUGCCAAGGCUCAACCUUGGAACUGCCUUUGAUACUGGACGCCUG